UUACACUCUAGAAAGAUAAAUAAUCUUCCCAAAUUCCCAAGAUGGUGCACCAGGCCCCCUGUGAUGGGCCCUGCCUCCUCUUCAGUCUCAUUGCUCUACAUUCCCCACAGCCUUUGUGUUCUUUUUUUUGAGACUCCUACCACCUCAGAGCCUUUGCACCUUCUGUUCCAUCAGCCUGAAUUACUCUGCACCGUUGCCUCCUUAGCAACUCCGCAUACUUCAGGUCUCAGCUUAAACCCCUCUUCUUAAAAGGAUUCCCUCUCAAUCCCAAAGAUUAGGUCAGGUUCCACCUGUUACAUCGCAUCACAGCCCCCUCUGCUUUUAAUUCUUGUAAUUAUUUGAUUAAUCCACCGGCUCCUUAAGGACAUCAGUAAUGCUUUUGUUGUUUCCCACUGUAUUCCCAGCACACAACAGGUGCUCACCAAAUACUCUGAAGUGAAUGAAGAUUAUAAAUUUUUUAUUAAAGCAAAAACUGGGGUAUGUUAGUCCCUAGUCUUCCAAGCAGACAUCAAGACAGGUUUACACCUGCCAGGAUUUUAUUAGGGGGAAGGCAUACGAAAAAAAAUGGAGAGGAAACUAGGAGAGUCGUCAGACUGUGAGGCAAGUCUGACCCUAGAGUGAAGAAGGGAAGAAAGGAAGGUUCGGAAGACCGUCCUCUACAUUCUAGCUCAGUCCAAGAGAGGUUCGGCGAGGCCAUCGAGGAACCCACCAGCCAAAGCUGAAGGUCAGAGGAGUGCCCUGUCUCCCGGGAACCCACGCUUUGGCAUCACCACCGCACGCACUCAUUCGCUCGGAGCGCCAUGGGAGGCGUGGUCCGGCAGCUGCGGCACUCACUCAUUGGCUGGGAGCACCGUGGGAGGGGUGGUCUGGCAGCUGGGGAGUGCAGUUCAGGGCUGGCCGCAGCCCAGCGAUCAUCAUUUAUGCUCCAUGGAGGAGGAAGUCUCCUUCUUCUGGCUGCCAUGUGGGCGUUCAGAGGCGAGAGGAGGUGACUUCUUGUUUAUAGGGAGGAGAAAAAUUACUAAAGGUAUGUCUUCCACAAAAGGGCGGGGAAUCUUAAUUUUGAGGCUCAGCAAGUAUCUGUUGAACACAUACUACUCUUCGACACGGUGGAAGACACUGUAAGACUGGGCACGCCUCAAAAAGCUUAUCAGCUAGUUAAGUGACAAAGUCAAGUCACAUACAUGCUCCUGACCCUCAGUCUUCCCAUUUCGAAAAUAAAGAUAACUCCACCCACCUGUGUGACGUGUGACACUUAGAUCCAGUGGCCUCCCUGCAUAAGAAUCGUGAGAAAGAAGAGGAAACAGAUUUUCCAGGUGAAGAGGCAGCGUUUGAUCCCGGACUCAAUGCUGGUCGUCAGAGAAAGGGGUGAAAGAGUCUCCCGACUGAGAAAGCAGCACGUGCAGCCGCGGAGUGUGAUCGCCCGGCUGUAGGGGGACAAGUGCUCUUAGGAGGAAAAUACAUAAGAAGAGAAGAUUAUUACUGUUUGAAAAGUGCUUUGAGAUCCUCUGAUGAAAGGAAGCCGUGCUGGGAGGCAGGGGAGAAGGGCUGGAAGGAAGACGGGAUGUUGGAGCAAACUGGAGUAGGUCAUGUUGACAGGGAGGAAGACAGCCUGGGAGCCCUGCACGUCUGAGUGUGGACCCAGGGCCUUCCUCUGUUCCCAGGGGAGUUUGCACGCCCUCACCCCCUUGCCAUCUGAACUCUGGUGGCUUUUAGGGCAGUCCGCGUGUUCAAGUUUUACCAAAGGAGUCAUGACCGCUGCAUCAUCAUGGAGAUACCACCUUUGAUUUUUCGGGGAACUGCAGAAUUGUUUUCUGUUGUAUUAAUAUUUGGGUAAUAAUCAUUGAUUAUUAAAAUCUUUAUUCUCUGCGUUUAUGGAGCCACUUUUCUUAGAAAGCCCCAC
ensembl:lncRNA